rnacentral:misc_RNA from 1 species
GCAAAGCAGAAAGAAUGGGGGACCUGAAAUCCACAAAUUCCGCCAUAAGGUCCUCAUGCAUAACUGGCAUAUUGACAAAAGUCAAAACUGACACUCAGUCAUACAUGUCCAAACCGCACAGAUUGGCAAAGUAAUCAUAUGACCAAGAGAAAGGAAAAAAUUAUAACCAUUCCUAAAACUAUCAAUUAAACUAGAUUGGCAAAUUUAUAUUAAUUCCCAUACCAUGUAUCAAAUAAAAAAUUGCCCUCAUCCAAUAAAAAAAUUAAGAAUAUUUUCAUGUAUAUAUUUAUUUUAAUAGCUUUUUUUGUUAUUUUU